rnacentral:rRNA from 1 species
AAGUCGUAACAAGGUUUCCGUAGGUGAACCUGCGGAAGGAUCAUUAUCGAAUAAACUUGAACAGGCUGUUGCUGGCCCCUUGGGGUGUGUGCACGCUUGUCUCAUCUUUAUCAUUUCUCCAACUGUGCACAUUUUGUAGACCCUGGAGCCUUUGGAUUUUUUUUAUUCGAGUCGGGACUGCUGUGCUUUUUUCAAGCCAGCUUUGCCUUGCAUCUCCAGGUCUAUGUCAUUUUUCACAACCUCUCAAAUGUGUUUAGAAUGUCGAAUAAAAGUGAAAUAUACAACUUUCAGCAACGGAUCUCUUGGCUCUCGCAUCGAUGAAGAACGCAGCGAAAUGCGAUAAGUAAUGUGAAUUGCAGAAUUCAGUGAAUCAUCGAAUCUUUGAACGCAUCUUGCGCUCCUUGGUAUUCCGAGGAGCAUGCCUGUUUGAGUGUCAUUUAACUUCUCAACCACAUCUUAUGUGUGUGGCUUGGAUGUGGGGUUGCAGGCUUUCUUUUGUGAAAGGGAAAGGUCAGCUCCCCUGAAAUAUAUUAGUGGUAUCUGAGCUACUACUAUAGGUGUGAUAAUUAUCUAUGCCUUUGGUAUGCUGCAUGAACAGAUCGCACUGCUUCCAACGAGUUGGAUGAAAAACCAUAUUUGAUGAAUUUGACCUCAUAUCAGGUAGGACUACCCGCUGAACUUAAGCAUAUCAAUAAGCGGAGGAAAAGAAACUAACAAGGAUUCCCCUAGUAACUGCGAGUGAAGCGGGAAAAGCUCAAAUUUGAAAUCUGGCGGUUCUUGAACUGUCCGAGUUGUAAUCUAGAGAAGUGUUACCUGUGCUGGACCGUGUACAAGUCUCCUGGAAUGGAGCAUCACAGAGGGUGAGAAUCCCGUCUUUGACAUGGACUGCCUGUACGAUAUGGUGCGCUCUCGAAGAGUCGAGUUGUUUGGGAAUGCAGCUCAAAAUGGGUGGUAAAUGCCAUCUAAAGCUAAAUAUUGGCGAGAGACCGAUAGCGAACAAGUACCGUGAGGGAAAGAUGAAAAGAACUUUGGAAAGAGAGUUAAACAGUACGUGAAAUUGCUGAAAGGGAAACGCUUGAAGUCAGUCGCGUCAGCUGGAAAUCAGCCUUGCUCUUGCUUGGUGUACUUUCUGGUUGAUGGGUCAGCAUCAAUUUUGACCACUGGAUAAAGUCGUUGGGAAUGUGGCAUCUUAGGAUGUGUUAUAGCCCAUUGUCGCAUACUGUGGUUGGGAUUGAGGAACUCAGCACGCCGCAAGGCCGGGUUUUUUUAAACCACGUUCGUGCUUAGGAUGCUGGCAUAAUGGCUUUAAUCGACC